rnacentral:rRNA from 1 species
UUCCGGUUGAUCCUGCCAGAGGUUACUGCUAUCGGUGUUCGACUAAGCCAUGCUAGUUAAAUGUUCUUCGUGAACAUAGCGGACUGCUCAGUAACACGUGGACAAUCUGCCCUUGGGUUCAGCAUAACCCCGGGAAACUGGGGAUAAUUCUGAAUAGAUCACAUAUGCUGGAAUGCUUUGUGAUUUAAAGAUCCGUCGCCCAAGGAUGGGUCUGCGGCCUAUCAGGUUGUAGUGGGUCUAGAGUACCUACUAGCCGACGACGGGUACGGGUUGUGAGAGCAAGAGCCCGGAGAUGGAUUCUGAGACAUUAAUCCAGGCCCUACGGGGCGCAGCAGGCGCGAAACCUUUACACUGCGGGAAACCGCGAUAAGGGGACACCGAGUGCCAGCAUACAAUGCUGGCUGUCCACAUGUGUAAAUAGCAUGUGAUAGCAAGGGCCGGGCAAGACCGGUGCCAGCCGCCGCGGUAACACCGGCGGCCCGAGUGGUAAUCACUAUUAUUGGGUCUAAAGGGUCCAUAGCCGGUUUAAUCAGUCUUCCGGGAAAUCUGACAGCUCAACUGUUAGGCUUCCGGGGGAUACUGUUAGACUUGGGACCGAGAGAGGUAAGAGGUACUACAGGGGUAGGAGUGAAAUCUUGUAAUCCCUGUGGGACCACCAGUGGCGAAGGCGUCUUACCAGAACGGGUCCGACGGUGAGGGACGAAAGCUGGGGGCACGAACCGGAUUAGAUACCCGGGUAGUCCCAGCCGUAAACGAUGCUCGCUAGGUGUCUGGAAUGGUGCGACCGUUUCAGGUGCCGCAGGGAAGCCGUGAAGCGAGCCACCUGGGAAGUACGGCCGCAAGGCUGAAACUUAAAGGAAUUGGCGGGGGAGCACUACAACGGGUGGAGCCUGCGGUUUAAUUGGAUUCAACGCCGGAA